UACAGAGGUCUCAAGCGUUGUUCGGAUUCAUUGGGCGUAAAGGGUGCGUAGGCGGCGCGGUAAGUCGGGUGUGAAAUCUCGGAGCUUAACUCUGAAACUGCAUUCGAUACUGCCGUGCUUGAGGACUGGAGAGGAGACUGGAAUUUACGGUGUAGCGGUGAAAUGCGUAGAUAUCGUAAGGAAGACCAGUGGCGAAGGCGGGGUCUCUGGACAGUUCCUGACGCUGAGGCACGAAGGUCAGGGGGAGCAAAACGGGG
rnacentral:rRNA from 1 species